UUUGGUGGCGAUAGCGAAGAGGUCACACCCGUUCCCAUACCGAACACGGAAGUUAAGCUCUUCAGCGCCGAUGGUAGUUGGGGGUUUCCCCCUGUGAGAGUAGGAC
rnacentral:rRNA from 1 species